UACGGAGGGUGCAAGCGUUAAUCGGAAUUACUGGGCGUAAAGCGCACGCAGGCGGUCUGUCAAGUCGGAUGUGAAAUCCCCGGGCUCAACCUGGGAACUGCAAUCGAAACUGGCAGGCUAGAGUCUUGUAGAGGGGGGUAGAAUUCCAGGUGUAGCGGUGAAAUGCGUAGAGAUCUGGAGGAAUACCGGUGGCGAAGGCGGCCCCCUGGACAAAGACUGACGCUCAGGUGCGAAAGCGUGGGGAGCAAACAGG
rnacentral:rRNA from 1 species